rnacentral:rRNA from 1 species
GUGGGGAAUUGUUCGCAAUGGGCGCAAGCCUGACGACGCAACGCCGCGUGGAGGAUGAAGGUCUUCGGAUUGUAAACUCCUGUUGCCCGGGACGAAUGGCCCGCGCGUGAACAGCGCGUGGGAAUGACGGUACCGGGUGAGGAAGCCCCGGCUAACUCUGUGCCAGCAGCCGCGGUAAUACAGAGGGGGCGAGCGUUGUUCGGAAUUACUGGGCGUAAAGGGCGCGUAGGCGGCCCGCUAAGUCAGACGUGAAAUCCCUCGGCUCAACCGAGGAACUGCGUCUGAGACUGGAGGGCUCGAAUCCGGGAGAGGGAUGCGGAAUUCCAGGUGUAGCGGUGAAAUGCGUAGAUAUCUGGAGGAACACCGGUGGCGAAGGCGGCAUCCUGGACCGGCAUUGACGCUGAGGCGCGAAAGCCAGGGGAGCAAACGGGAUUAGAAACCCCAGUAGUCC